CAGGCUUAACACAUGCAAGUCGAGGGGCAGCAUGGUCUUAGCUUGCUAAGGCCGAUGGCGACCGGCGCACGGGUGAGUAACGCGUAUCCAACCUGCCUUACACUCUUGGACAGCCUUCUGAAAGGGAGAUUAAUACAAGAUGUUAUCAUGAGUAAGCAUUUUCGCAUGAUUAAAGGUUUACCGGUGUAAGAUGGGGAUGCGUUCCAUUAGAUAGUAGGCGGGGUAACGGCCCACCUAGUCUUCGAUGGAUAGGGGUUCUGAGAGGAAGGUCCCCCACAUUGGAACUGAGACACGGUCCAAACUCCUACGGGAGGCAGCAGUGAGGAAUAUUGGUCAAUGGACGAGAGUCUGAACCAGCCAAGUAGCGUGAAGGAUGAAGGUUCUAUGGAUUGUAAACUUCUUUUAUACGGGAAUAAACGAAUCCACGUGUGGAUUUUUGCAUGUACCGUAUGAAUAAGGAUCGGCUAACUCCGUGCCAGCAGCCGCGGUAAUACGGAGGAUCCGAGCGUUAUCCGGAUUUAUUGGGUUUAAAGGGAGCGUAGAUGGGUUGUUAAGUCAGUUGUGAAAGGUUGCGGCUCAACCGUAAAAUUGCAAUUGAUACUGGCAGUCUUGAGUACAGUUGAGGUAGGCGGAAUUCGUGGUGUAGCGGUGAAAUGCUUAGAUAUCACGAAGAACUCCGAUUGCGAAGGCAGCUUACUAACCUGUAACUGACAUUGAUGCUCGAAAGUGUGGGUAUCAAACAGGAUUAGAUACCCUGGUAGUCCACACGGUAAACGAUGAAUACUCGCUGUAGGCGAUAUACAGUCUGCGGCCAAGCGAAAGCAUUAAGUAUUCCACCUGGGGAGUACGCCGGCAACGGUGAAACUCAAAGGAAUUGACGGGGGCCCGCACAAGCGGAGGAACAUGUGGUUUAAUUCGAUGAUACGCGAGGAACCUUACCCGGGCUUAAAUUGCAACCGAAUAUGGCGGAAACGCUAUAGCUAGCAAUAGCGGUUGUGAAGGUGCUGCAUGGUUGUCGUCAGCUCGUGCCGUGAGGUGUCGGCUUAAGUGCCAUAACGAGCGCAACCCUUGCCGAUAGUUACUAACAGGUCAUGCUGAGGACUCUGUCGGGACUGCCAUCGUAAGAUGUGAGGAAGGUGGGGAUGACGUCAAAUCAGCACGGCCCUUACGUCCGGGGCUACACACGUGUUACAAUGGGGGGUACAGAGGGCUGCUACCACGCAAGUGGAUGCCAAUCCCAAAAACCUCUCUCAGUUCGGAUUGAAGUCUGCAACCCGACUUCAUGAAGCUGGAUUCGCUAGUAAUCGCGCAUCAGCCACGGCGCGGUGAAUACGUUCCCGGGCCUUGUACACACCGCCCGUCAAGCCAUGGGAGCCGGGGGUACCUGAAGUGCGUAACCGCAAGGAGCGCCCUAGGGUAAAACUGGUGACUGGGGCUAAGUC
rnacentral:rRNA from 1 species